rnacentral:rRNA from 1 species
GUCUACAGCCAUGCUACUCUGAACAGGCGGGAUCCCAUUUGAUCCGGGAAGCUAAGCAGGGUGAGGCCUGGUUAGUACUUGGAUGGGAGACCGCCUAGGAAGACCAGGUGCUGUAGGCA